CCUACGGGAGACAGCAGUGGGGAAUAUUGCGCAAUGGGCGAAAGCCUGACGCAGCGACGCCGCGUGGGUGAUGAAGGCCUUCGGGUCGUAAAGCCCUGUCGGGAGGGAAGAAACCUCGGCGGCCGAAUAAGCCGCCGACUUGACGGUACCUCUAAAGGAAGCACCGGCUAACUCCGUGCCAGCAGCCGCGGUAAUACGGAGGGUGCAAGCGUUGUUCGGAAUCACUGGGCGUAAAGCGCGUGUAGGCGGCCACUUAAGUCCGGGGUGAAAGCCCGGGGCUCAGCUCCGGAAGGGCAUCGGAAACUGGGUGGCUAGAGGGCCGGAGAGGAGGGUGAAAUUCCUGGUGUAGCGGUGAAAUGCGUAGAUAUCAGGAGGAACACCGGUGGCGAGGGUGGCCCCCUGGACGGUGACUGACGCUGA
rnacentral:rRNA from 1 species